UGCCCGGGUCGCAUAAUGGUAUUGCACAAGACUGGAAAUCUUGGCCUUUUAGGCUCCCAGGUUCGAUUCCUGGUCCGGGCGU
rnacentral:tRNA from 1 species